CAAAGGGACACACACAUGGAGCCAUUGGGAAGAACAGCCGUGUGUCUGCAAUGACAUGAAAUGGACCCUGAAAAAGUGGAUGGGGCUACUUUCUUUUACCAGGAAGGGUUAAUAGGAAAGAAAGAAGACCAUGAAAACCAUGAGCAUCAUUCACUGAUGACAAAACAAACAGAGAAGCCACAGGUUUUUUGGCUUUGCUGCCAUCUAGCAGAAGAUGGACAGCCUGACAUCCACACACCCACUGGGACAAAGAAGAAUAUUAGAUUGGUGUGGUAGCUGGGGGAUAAGGUGGAUUAUGGUUCAGGUCUGAGCUGGCCAUUCUGGCUAGUUGACUCUUAAAAGGUGGCUUGUUUCUGGAAGAGCAGAUUUAGAAGCAGAACUAGCAGAGACUCGCUCCUGUUGCUGGAGGAGUGAAACAGGCUUGUCUUCCCUGUUGGCACUGUUGGAUUGAAGGAGAUGUGCACCCAAAAGAACAAGACUUAGGAAAAUUCAGGCAUGCCCUCUAAAGAUAAACCUUCUGAGCAAGUUCAAGGUAAAGAAAGGGUAGAGACUGCUGAUGAGCAAGGUGGAAGAAGUGCCAUUAUAAUUCUAUUUACUCUGUGCAGAAAGUGUGCUCCAAUGCUUUGAAAAGAGCUGUCACGCAUCAAAGAACUUCAUAGACACCAGUGAGGUCUCCUGACACCAGAAUGGGCAAAUGAGCGUUGCAUAGCAGAUGGGGAAAAUGAGACUUUAAAAGGCUGAACAGAAGUGGCCUCCCUGGAAAUACAGCUCAGCAACCUCCUGCUCAGAUAAGUAUCUUCAGCCUCUUUCUCUAUCCUCCCCUUUGCAGCCCCAACACAUCUGUGACAGUUACUUGUGUGAACAUUAUCCUGGGGAGCUGCAGCAGGACUGGAGCAUCCAACAUGGGAUCUGUUGCCAUUGCCCCCAUGUUAUGCUCUGGGAGUGUGAUGCCAAGCCCUCCACCUCUGGGAAUGGAUGCCUAUGAGAUGUCCAUUGGAAACAAAAGUAGGCAGAGUUAUCCUGCAAGAAAUGCUGGGAAUCCCACUGAGCUAUGUGUCCAAACACAUCACUACCUCAUGCUUCAGCUGUUAGAAUAUUGUUAGUCCAACUGAAUGCAACCAGCUACAAACAUUUUGGGUUAAAGUCUAAGAUAACCUCUUCAGACAACUCCACUCUGGCAGUCACCAAGACAGGGAAGGCAGUAACUGGUAGAGGGCAUGUUUCACCACCAAAUGAGCUCAAGAUGUUGCAGGAUUUUUAAAGGAAGCCAAUUCUUUGCUCUCACAGCAGCCCUUUGAAAAAUGACAGUAAGAAUCAAGCCUCUCUCAUAGAGAAACCCUCUAGUGCACUUGAAAUUGAAAUUUUGAAAUGAGCAACAGCAAAAACCAUCUACCUGAAAAAUGCUCUUUUAUUUGAUGUGCACUAGAAAUAUGGAGAGGCAAAUUUCAUUGGCAGUAAGGUAUGUUCUUUCCUCUGGCUUUAAUGCCUAACUUCCCAAUCUUAGAAAUAAUUUCAGACCUUUGACUCAGUGAUAGAAAAAUAUUUAGUUUUGUGCAUAAACCUGACAGAGGGCCAAAAUGUUUCUCUUACAAAAUGCAGAAAUUUCUGGAGUUACUCCAAGGAUGCAUUUAGUCCCUUCUGUUCAAAAUUUAAGACCUGCUGUUUUUCUGACAGUGCAGGUAAUUGCUACAGCUGGAGCAAAGCUGUAUGUCAUCGUCUCCAACCUCAGCCCCUCCUACAAUUCUCUUCUCUCUCAGCAGAUACACAGUGAAUCCCUCACAACGUGCCAAGGGAUGGAUCCAGGUCUAAAUCCUCUCCCAGUGGUAGCUGACUGGGUGUAUCUCUGCUACCCGCAGCACAUUCCACACUGUUUUCACUGCAGCAAAGAAGGGUCAAGACCUCACCCACAUGGGUGUCUUGAGGAAAUCCUGCAGAUUUCAAGAUGUCUGCAGAUAUUCCCUCCCUUCCACUAGCCCUAAGUAGUAAGGACAAAUCCUCUUGUGAUGGGGUCAGUUUGAGGGCUUUUCCUCCACUUAUCUUCCACUGAGACCCUGGUGUGGCUCCUGUCUCCCCAUCACAGGUUGCUGAUUUGGCCAUAGGAUGAAAAGCAACUAAAGGCAAAGAGACAUCUUCCAAAUAUAACAAGGUAAAAGUCUCUGCCCUGAUGAAAUCUUGAAGAAAGAGACAGAAAAAAGGCACUAAGGAGAUAACAUUAGCUUGUUUUUACAGCUGGACACCUGAAGCUCAGAGCUGAGAUUUCCACAGUAGUAAUUUAUGCAAGACCACGAGCUUCCUCAGAUCCGUGAGGAGGGGGGGAGAUCCCUCCACUGAGUCCAACUGCAGCUUCUCCAUCACAUGGGGAGGUACAAGCCACCUGUCAAGUCCUGCUGUAGCUGCAUCUGUGUAGCUCUCAAGCCUUCUCAAAUGGGAGAAAAAUAAUCAUUUGUGCACGGAGAUGGGAUGUUUCUCAGCUUUCAGGCUUCCUAGCAGUAAUAAGUCCUUGAGAAACAGCUGUAAAAAGGGCAGGAUCAAGAGGUGAAUUGUUGGGCACUGUGCUAAGAACGAAUUUGCUGGCUUUCUCUUAUGCCAUUCUGCUGUUGUACAGAUAUACAUGCUCACUCAUAAACCCAAAUGUCAACAGAUUAUAUUUCUUUCCAAACAGGAUCAUGUGUGAAUAAAUAUAACUCUAUCUCAAAUUGGAAAAAUCCAUCAGUUUUUCUUGUCCCUGUAGGUGCACACAUACAUAUGCACGAGUCUGUGUAGACAUGCAGCUGUGGUGCAGAAUGCUAGAAACAAAAUGUGGAAGUGUAAUUAGUAAGUCUAAAAUACAGCAGACUCAAGAGAUACAUACCACAGCAGCAACUCCUCAAAUUCCAACACCUCCGUGGCUGUAUGUAUCCACCUCAUACAUUUUCAGACUUACUGUUACAAAUCAUUUCAAUUUGCAGUCUUUCCCUUAAACUGAUUUCAGAUUAAUCUUAUUUCUUCUUAUUAGAUACAUCUUUCAUGCAGAGUGUAAACCAAUAAUCUGCUUGUAAAGCUUACUGGCAUUGGCUCUCAUCAAAGUGGCAGGCAGAGAGUUGCAGUUAAUGGCAGUAACAGAGAGAGCCUGAUUGCUGGGUGGCAGCACCUCAGCGUUUUUCCUCUCUCCCUGCUGUGGGACUGAAAUCCAUGAAUUUGAAAGCUGCUUGUGUCUUCAUCAUCAUUAUGGAGGUGUCUGUCAGCCAGCAGCAAUUAAUGGCAACUGCAACUUUUGAAGAUGAGAAAUGUCAGCACCACCUGGAAUUCCCGGAAAGAGAAAAGCCUGUGGACUUGUCUUCUGCAGCGUGGCAACCUCUGUUGCCACGACCAAUACACAAUCAGACUGACUUUUAUAAUUUUCACUUCUACCUAUUGUGCUUGUUUGCUCACUAGUAUGUGUUGGAAUGCAUGGUGUUUGAAGGGUUUUUCCAGUUGUUUCACCUCCUAAUGUUUGGCAGAGCAGCAGUGGCCCCUAAUAGUACUGGGAAGCAUUAUUGUUCAGUCUGCUUUGCUCCUGUUCCAAAAAGUCCCUGUCUUCCCCAAAACAGUUGUGACUAUGCAAGUAACAGAAGUCAUUCUGACCAUCCAAAAGGUGAAGGCUGGCCUUGCCUCAUUCAUUUACCUUAAAUUAAAAAAAAAAAAAAGAAAUUAAAUGAACAGUUAUUUUCAGACUGCCGAAAAUUCUUCAGUAUUUUUAAAUGAAAUGCAAGAGGAAAGAUUAACCAAUGACACCAUGUUUCAAUUUUUCUAACAGAAAGCCCAAGCUAGAAAAUUGUCCCUUAUCUGUUUCUUAGUCAUGUACGGGUAUUUUUCCUCGAAAGGUAUAGUGUUCAGCAAUAAGCAUUAAUAUAUAAGCUGUGAAAACAUAGUAUAGAUCAGCCAUUUCACACUGGUCUCCCAUCACGAUCUGAUAUUUUCAAGCAUGUUUUAAAAUCCAUGCAAAGACCUUGCAUGUGUUCUUCUUUUUGGAGGACUCUGGAAUGGACCUGCAGAAACAAAGCCCCAGUUUUGUAUUGAUGAAUCUGGAAAUAAAAAUGCAAAAUAUAUUUUUUGGCUGAAGGGAUAUGAGAUACAAUACAAAUUACAUCAAAUACAGAAUGUGGCCUAUUUAAAUGAAAAAUUUCACUUUUUUUAGAGCUCCAGUGUCCUGAACGAAUAAGAAGCAGCCUUUUUUCCUGCUCUGAACUUUCUUAAUGGCCAUUUUAAUGACUACCUACUCAAGUUUAAAGCCAGCUGUUUAAUUACUAAAUGCCAAUAUUUAUGAAAGCCUAGCACAUACAAGUGAUAAUGACACAAUUCAGUAUUUAUGGCAAGCAGGUUUUUGGUAACUAUCAAUACUGAGUAAUCGCAGUACUCUCUGUACUGCCACUAAUUUCAGAGGACAAUGAGCAAGAUUUCCUUGAAAUUUAAAAUCCAGAGACUAUUCAUCCUUUAGCCUUCCAGUGACUUCAGACCCAGCAUGUAGUAGCAGCAAGAAAGAACUAUGAUUUCUUAUCUCUGAAAACCAUUGCUGAAUUGAUGGAGUGAGGGAUAUUUUUAGGGUGCUGAGACUACUUUGCAGGUGGUGGGGAACCUGAGGAGGUGAGCAGCAGGAAGACAGUGCUUAAUGCUCUGGCUUUUGGCACAAUAGCUCAGUGAUUGGAACAUUUGGAGAGUAGGGAGAAGAGGUGGUCAGAGUAUUGAGUUCCCUUUGCAUCUUAAAAUCCUGCUUUUCUUGCUAGUAAACUCCAAAGCCCCUUAGAAGGGUCUCUUUGCCAUGGUCAAAAAGCAGAAGCACUUCUUGAUUUUAGGUCCUGUGAGAUGCAAAGGUCCCUGUUGAGCGUGGGAUCAUUCUCCAAGACUUAGAUGACUCAAAUGCACCUACGCUCUGGUUUUGCUGGACUUCAGCCAGUGGGCACCAGAUCCAAAAGCCUGUAAGGAUGGCGCAGGACAGACAUCAGGGAGGGAGGGACUGCACUGCUAAGUUUGUUUCCAUGUAGUAAGGGAAAAAUUGCAAAUUUGAACACUAAGGAAGCUGUUUCUGCCUACUGCUGAUUUCUGUACUUACAUGUUUAGGUUGCAAUUAUAUUUAACACAUAAUGGAAUCCAGAGAAGAACCUCGUGUUUAUAUUUUAUUCAGGAGAAAACUAUCUACUGUUACAAUAUUUUAUAGUACUAGAAAUUAUAGUAGAAAUUAUGUCAGCAGCUCACACCAUUUGCUGCAGAGCCUGUUUCAUGAAGACAUGUUGUAGAGCAAUAUUCAUCCGAAGUAAUGAAAGGUGUAAAUUAAAUGGAAUAAAAUUAAAUCAAAUUGAGGAAAUAUUCACUCUGCCUGAGAAUGACCAUACAGACAUCUAAUGCAGUUUGAAUAAUGCAUCCUAAGUAUUUUCCUUUAUGUAACUUGAUUACUCUUCCUGCCCAGCCCCAUGUAAUAAUCAGAUGUUCUCUGCUGGAGUAUUAACCAGGCUUUUGCCUUUAGGAGCCUGCUCUGGAGAUGUGAAAAAAGAUUUUACUGAAUUCACUGGGGUUUGCAGGGCUGGCUGAAGGCAGAGCGAGUAGCAGGGGCGUGGCCUGCCUGGCUGUGACAUCAGCGUGUAGCAUAACAGGGAGCAUCCACAUGAUGUCAGUGCAAAGGCUCAUCUGCUCCGGCUUCCUCUCUCCCUGCACAUUAUUAAGGGAAAGGACUAUAAGAACAAAGAAGUGUGUGUUUGCUCCUGGGUCUGUGGAGGAGGGAUGGUACAGAAGUACAGGGGGAGAAGAUCUCUUUAUAUCCCCAAAGCAACAGGAGAAUCCCUGGACUAUGGGUCAAAAUUAGGUGUUCAUGGUUAGUAGCCACAAUGGACCACUCUUUCAUGAUUUUUUUUCUCUUCCCUAAACUUUUUAUACUAAUUAAGCUCCAUGUGAAAAGGUCUUUUUUUUUUUUUUUUUAAUCAAUUAAUCUUUAGCUGCAGGUAUCUCUUGUGUUCCCUGUCCUAUCCUGGUGUUCCGUGCCUAGGAAAAGCAGUGGCUUCAGUACCUGCAAUAAUUAAAUAAUAAUAGCAUAAAUUAAGAUUUUUUUUACUGUCAUUUACUUGUGGAGGCUGAGAGGAGGCAAGUUGAUGAAACGUCAAUGACCAGUUGCCCGAAGAAAAGAAAGAAUGAAAAAUAGAAACAUUUUUCAAGUAGAGGGAUGUAGUGAGGCAAGUAGAGUCAGAAGCCCUGUGUUUUCACCCAGUAUUUGAUCAUAACCUUCAAAUUCUUUUAUUUGCUUUCCAAAUGUGUGAAAAAGAAACGUGUAGCAUACAUGACAACAUGAGCUACUAUGAUUAUAAUCUGUACAUUAUUUUGAAGGUUUUGAUUACAGUAUAAAAGCCAAUCACAUGGGGUUUCCUUGUCCUUACAAUAAAUAGCUUGCUUGCAUCGGCACUGUCCUUACUUACAUGAGUUAAAUUGCCACUCAUAUUUACAUAUAUGUACAUAAAAAUUAUUCUUAUUGAAUAUGAUUGCAAGUAAUUGUAAAAUAGCAGUUAUCAACCUCUUUAUAUCCCCCCCACACUUCUCUUCUGGUUGUAACUGGCAUAACUUCUGAUGCUUGUUUUUCCCAUGCUGCAAAUUUGCUCUUUUGCUCAAUUUUUCUUUUGUUCAGUGAGACAAAGAAUUCAUGUGACUGAAGCUCAUUUUCCUGUAUGAGGUAUGGCAAUAGCAAUUAAAAACUCUUCUUUUGAACAAAAUAUACAUAGACUUAUGGCUCAUAUCUGAAUGCUAUAUUAGCAGUGAUCCAUGGAACCAGACCUUUGACAUGAAGUUGUGAAAUAGAUCCUGAAACAGGAUAAAAGGGUCAUUUUUGCAAAUACACAUUAAAUAUUUCCCACUGAUUCCAACAGUCUUUGCUGAAUGGCAGUGUAUGUAGAUUUUGUUUUGCUGUGAAAGGCUGCACUUGCCACCACCUGAUAUGGAGAACAAGUCAGCAGUCAAAAUAUUUCUCUCAGUUAAACUAAAUGACCCAUUAAGCAAUAGUUAUAAAGAGAUACAAAUGCUCUUCCUCACUAAUUUUAAAUAAAGCAUGCUGAACAAAAGACUGAUAUUUUGAAAAGUUAUUCACAAGACCAAAUAAUAACAACCUUUGAUCCACAAUUUUGUCUCUGUGAUUAUCUCUCCACUUCUUCCAUCAACCAAAAAUCCUCAGCUCUUAGUCAUGAUCCAUUUUGGUUCCUAAUCUCCAUAUUUCAAGGAAUUCAAAAGAGUUAAUGUUCAUAGUUCACAUCUUAAUUUACUAAGCAGCUUCAAGUCUCUUCAGUACCACUGAGCAUAUAUAUUGAUUUUUGAGCUUUGGUAGUUUACUCAAAAGCAUCGCCUUUCCUUAUUUCCUUUUAAUUGUUUUUUAAUUGGGGUUAUGGAAGUGUUAAGAUGUUACAAAGCAUGCAGAUCAUCAUUACAGCGAAAAACAGACAGGAGAAAGUUGUGGUUUAAAAACAGACUACUCAGACAACCCGGUUCUGCUUAUUCCCACCUACUGUCAUUUCUAUCUUAGGCUCAUCUUAGAAAUAUAUUAUUAUAUAGCUGCUUUCUGUGCAUUACAAAGGCAAAGACAUUGCAAGUCUUGACACUGCCUGUGCUGUGCCUGUACGAGUGAGGUGCAAAGUCAGCAAGAGAGCAGUAAAAGUACAGCUGGGAGGCUUCUUUAAUGGGUUACUGGCACCAUAUGAAGACUACAUUAGUUAUUUACUGCUGACAUGACAAGAUAUUCCCUCAACAGGGAUCAUGGGUUGAAAGAAAAGAGGUAUUGCCAGCCUGAAAUCUAAACUGUCCAGCCUUAUACCCUGGUACGUGUCUGCUGUCAGCUUCCUCCGAGGUUUUGUGAAGUUAUCUAACAUUUAUCAUUUAUAAUAAGUCUUUAAAUAAAGUCUGUGCAUGAAAUGAUCUAAAAGGAUAUGCCAAGUCA